rnacentral:rRNA from 1 species
CAGCAGCCACGGUAAUACGUAGGUGGCGAGCGUUGUCCGGAAUUAUUGGGCGUAAAGGGCUCGCAGGCGGUUUCUUAAGUCUGAUGUGAAAGCCCCCGGCUCAACCGGGGAGGGUCAUUGGAAACUGGGAAACUUGAGUGCAGAAGAGGAGAGUGGAAUUCCACGUGUAGCGGUGAAAUGCGUAGAGAUGUGGAGGAACACCAGUGGCGAAGGCGACUCUCUGGUCUGUAACUGACGCUGAGGAGCGAAAGCGUGGGGAGCGAACAGGAUUAGAUACCCCUGUAGUCCCUGUCUCUUAUAC